GACGAACGCUGGCGGCGUGCUUAACGCAUGCAAGUCGAACGGAAAGGCCCUGCUUGCAGGGUGCGCGAGUGUCGAACGGGUGAGUAACACGUGGGUGAUCUGCCCCUUAUUUUUGGAUAAGCCUUGGAAACUGGGUCUAAUACUCGAGAUGACCAUGCUGUAUGUGGUGUGGUGGAAGGAUUAUUUUCGGUAAGGGAUGAGCUCGCGGCCUAUCAGCUUGUUGGUGGGGUAAUGGCCUACCAAGGCGUCGACGGGUAGCCGGCCUGAGAGGGUGGACGGCCACAUUGGGACUGAGAUACGGCCCAGACUCCUACGGGAGGCAGCAGUGGGGAAUAUUGCACAAUGGGCGCAAGCCUGAUGCAGCGACGCCGCGUGGGGGAUGACGGCCUUCGGGUUGUAAACUCCUUUCAGCCAUGACGAAGCCCUUGUGGUGACGGUAGUGGUAGAAGAAGCACCGGCUAACUACGUG
rnacentral:rRNA from 1 species